rnacentral:rRNA from 1 species
ACUCCUACGGGAGGCAGCAGUGGGGAAUAUUGCACAAUGGAGGGAACUCUGAUGCAGCGACGCCGUGUGAACGAAGAAGGCUUUCGAGUCGUAAAGUUCUUUUAUAUGGGAAGAUAAUGACGGUACCAUAAGAAAAAGCCCCGGCUAACUACGUGCCAGCAGCCGCGGUAAUACGUAGGGGGCUAGCGUUGUCCGGAAUCACUGGGCGUAAAGGGUUCGCAGGCGGAAAUGCAAGUCAGAUGUAAAAGGCAGUAGCUUAACUACUGUAAGCAUUUGAAACUGCAUAUCUUGAGAAGAGUAGAGGUAAGUGGAAUUUUUAGUGUAGCGGUGAAAUGCGUAGAUAUUAAAAAGAAUACCGGUGGCGAAGGCGACUUACUGGGCUCAUUCUGACGCUGAGGAACGAAAGCGUGGGUAGCAAACAGGAUUAGAUACCCUGGUAGGAUAGUG